CAUGCCUAGUGUAUCCUACCUGCUCAUUUAUUUUUGUUUUCCUUCGCUGUGUUUUAUAACUAUCCUAGUCUUCUCCUUUCUAACUCCCAAGCCAGUCCCAUACUCUGUGCUCUAUAGCCGAGAUUCUCUCUCCUUCAAUCUCGCCCAUUCUCUUGCUUGCUCAUCUCCGCCAAUCUUGUGAACUUAGACUUGUGUAGAUGUACUGAAAAUACAUGAGAAAAGACAUAGAAAAUGAUACUAUUGCCAGAAUGGAAAUUUGGAAUGGAAGGUUUAGGAAAGAUAUUUACAAAUUUGAAUCCGAGAACACUGAAAAAGUAUGCUGGGCAUGGAUGCCAGAGAUGAUUCACAUGACCAGUAAAAUCUAACUAAAAGACAGUCAGGGAGCUGUUCAAAGCGAGCAAGGACGUUUUGUAUCCAGUUUUUGUUUUUGUGAGGGAUUGAGAUCCUACGGCAAUAGUUUUAAUCUUAACUAUUUAUUUAAUUCAAUGGAUAGAAAAUUGACAUCUUAAAAAUCAUUAUGAAAUUUGGAUUGACUGUAUAGAUGGGUAUUUUGCUAGUGGAUAGUAUAUUUUGUUUCUUGUAAUUCAUUUUAAAGAUAUAAACUGUGGCUCAUUUGGUUUUU